UGAAGCUUUCAGAGCCUGCAUUUCCAGCUUU
rnacentral:piRNA from 1 species